rnacentral:rRNA from 1 species
UACGAAGGGGGCUAGCGUUGCUCGGAUUGACUGGGCGUAAAGGGCGCGUAGGCGGUUCGUACAGUCAGACGUGAAAUUCCUGGGCUCAACCUGGGGGCUGCGUUUGAUACGUGCGGACUUGAGUGCGGAAGAGGGUCGUGGAAUUCCCAGUGUAGAGGUGAAAUUCGUAGAUAUUGGGAAGAACACCAGUGGCGAAGGCGCCUUGCUGGGUCUGCACUGACACUGAGGGACGAAAGCUAGGGGAGCGAAAGGG